rnacentral:lncRNA from 1 species
GCCGAGGCCGCCGGCCGCGGCGCACACAUCCGUGCUCGCCGGGGUCCGGUCUAUGGAGUCAGUUGGCGCGGCAGGCGGCUCGGAGGCAGGAGGUGGUGUCCGAGUGGGGGCCUCUGCCCCGCCAGGAUGUUUCCGGGCUUGGCCGCCGCCGCCGCGGCGCACAGGUGCAGCUGGGCGGCGCUGUGCAGGCUCGGUGGCGGCCGGGCAGCGACCCGCGGCCGCAGCCAGGGAUGGAAGAAUGUAAUGACAUUUGAAAGCUUUACAUAUGUGGUUCCCGACAUUCACCCACAUUUAUCUAUUAUAAAUCAAGUCAAGUUGUACUCUACGAAUGUCCAGAAAGGAGGGCAGGGCUCACAGACUCCAAAAGCUGACAAAGUCCCAUCACUUACACAAACAGAUCUUUGAGGGGAGAAGAUUGACCUUCAAUCUGGGCCACACCUUCAGCUGGCAGCCUAUAUAAAGGAUUGAAAGAAGGAAGCUAUCUCUUUACCUGCUAGCCAGUCCAUUCUUUCACUGGCAUUAGAGCCUACUUCUUCUGGACUCCAACAUACUCUGAAGACAACUGAGAAAUCCAGCCUCAUGGGCUCAACAAGUGUGGAUUCUUAGACCUUCCAUUUGUAGACAGACAGCCAUUAUUGAACUAGUUGGACCAUAGCCUGUAAACCAUUCUAAUAAAUCCUCUGACCUCCAUAUACAUAUCAUAGCACACAUGUAUGUGCACUCACACAUGUGCCCAUAUAUAUAUAUAUAUCAUUGAUUGAUUAAAUUUUUAGAAUUGGAUAUUACUGAUUAAAGGGAUAAAAUGUGUAAUGAGUCUCUUCGUUCCAGAACUCAGGCUGUGCUUAUUAUAAAGACACAGUAAAGGAAGAGACAGUUGCUGAGAUGACACAACAGAUCAUAUAGUGGGUUUCUUAGGGAAGCCUAAAUGCAGAAGGAAAUAGUGAAUGUUGCUUGCACUAUACAAAAACUUUAAGAUUUACAUUUUUGGUUUGGUUUCCUUUUUCUCUGCUGAGUGUAAUAAAAAUUUUAAUUU